rnacentral:lncRNA from 1 species
GGCCCACUAAGCAUUAGGGUUCGCUAAAUAACCCCCACAACAUCCAUAACAUCCUGAUCUCUUCACAAUCUAUCAGCGUCGGCUGCUAGGGUUCCAUAACCUAACCAGAAAAGUCACAACUUUCGGUUUCCGAUCACCAUGAGGGCCAAGUGGAAGAAGAAGAGAAUGAGGAGGUUGAAGAGGAAGCGCCGAAAGAUGAGGCAGAGAUCUAAGUAAUCUGUUUAUCGGGAAUAAUAUGGUACCAGUAAUCGUCAGUUUAUGUUUUGUGUUUUCUGUUUGAAGUAUGAUGUUUGAACUUAUCGUAACGUUGUAGGUUUUUUGUUGGAUUGAGUUUUAUGACUUUUAUGAUAUGAAUUUAGCUUAAAAUGUUAUGGUUCUGCAUAUUUGGUUUGGUUUUUUCUUGUUUGUUGUUUGUGGGUGCUAUGAUUUUAUGUAUUUAUCGCCUGUUAUGGUCUUGCAAAUUUAGAUCGAGAAUCUAAAUUUUGGAUUUGUGGCAAAGAUUAAUAAGGGAUAUGUUUUCUGUUUAAAUUUGUGCAACCAGUGGUGUCACUGGUCG